CCUACGGGCGACAGCAGUGAGGAAUAUUGGUCAAUGGGCGCGAGCCUGAACCAGCCAAGUAGCGUGCAGGAUGACUGCCCUACGGGUUGUAAACUUCUUUUAUACGGGAAUAACAUGCUCCACGUGUGCAUUUCUGCAUGUACUUUACGAAUAAGGAUCGGCUAAAUCCGUGCCAGCAGCCGCGGUAAUACGGAGGACCCGAGCGUUAUCCGGAUUUAUUGGGUUUAAAGGGAGGGUAGAUGGGGCGUUAAGUCAGCUGUGAAAGUUGGGGGCUCAACCGGAAAAUUGCAAUUGAAACUGGCAGCCUUGAGUACACAUGAGGUAGGCGGAAUUCGUGGUGUAGCGGUGAAAUGCUUAGAUAUCACGAAGAACCCCGAUUGCGAAGGCAGCCUGC
rnacentral:rRNA from 1 species